GAUGAACGCUGGCGGCGUGCCUAAUACAUGCAAGUCGAGCGAACAGACGAGGAGCUUGCUCCUCUGACGUUAGCGGCGGACGGGUGAGUAACACGUGGAUAACCUACCUAUAAGACUGGGAUAACUUCGGGAAACCGGCGCUAAUACCGGAUAAUCUAUUGAACCGCAUGGUUCAAUAGUGAAAGACGGUUUUGCUGUCACUUAUCGAUGGAUCCGCGCCGCAUUAGCUAGUUGGUAAGGUAACGGCUUACCAAGGCGACGAUGCGUAGCCGACCUGAGAGGGUGAUAGGCCACACUGGAACUGAGACACGGUCCAGACGCCUACGGGAGGGAGCAGUAGGGAAUCUUCCGCAAUGGGCGAAAGCUUGACGGAGCAACGCCGCGUGAGUGAUGAAGGUCUUCGGAUCGUAAAAAUCUGAUAUUAGGGAAGAACAAAUGUGGAAGUAACUAUGCACGUCUUGACGGUACCUAAUCAGAAAGCAACGGCUAACUACGUG
rnacentral:rRNA from 1 species